UACGGAGGGAGCAAGCGUUACUCGGAAUUACUGGGCGUAAAGGGCGCGUAGGCGGCCAGGUAGGUCUGCUGUGAAAACUCGAGGCUCAACCUCGAGAUGUCGGCGGAAACCAUCUGGCUAGAGUCCGGAAGAGGAGAAUGGAAUUCCCGGUGUAGCGGUGAAAUGCGCAGAUAUCGGGAAGAACACCCGUGGCGAAGGCGGUUCUCUGGGACGGUACUGACGCUGAGACGCGAAAGCGUGGGGAGCGAACAGG
rnacentral:rRNA from 1 species